rnacentral:pre_miRNA from 1 species
AAUGAGAUUGCUGGGUCAUACAGGAAGUAUGUGCCUACUGUGUAAGAAAUUGCUAAACUGUUUUCUCUAGUGGCUGUUCCAUUUCGCACUCCCACCAGCAAG